UGGAAAACAUGGUGGAUUCAUUUAAAGAUUU
rnacentral:piRNA from 1 species